UACAGGGGGGGCAAGCGUUGUUCGGAAUUACUGGGCGUAAAGGGUCUGUAGGUGGCCAACUAAGUCAGACGUGAAAUCCCUCAGCUUAACUGGGGAACUGCGUCUGAUACUGGAUGGCUUGAGUGCAGGAGAGGAAUGCGGAAUUCCAGGUGUAGCGGUGAAAUGCGUAGAUAUCUGGAGGAACACCGGUGGCGAAGGCGGCAUUCGGGACUGUAACUGACACUGAGAGACGAAAGCCAGGGGAGCAAACGGG
rnacentral:rRNA from 1 species